UACGUAGGGUGCGAGCGUUAAUCGGAAUUACUGGGCGUAAAGCGUGCGCAGGCGGUUUUGUAAGCCAGAUGUGAAAUCCCCGGGCUCAACCUGGGAAUGGCAUUUGGGACUGCAAGGCUGGAGUUUGGCAGAGGAGACUGGAAUUCCUGGUGUAGCAGUGAAAUGCGUAGAUAUCAGGAGGAAUACCGAUGGCGAAGGCAGGUCUCUGAGCUAUAACUGACGCUCAUGCACGAAAGCGUGGGGAGCAAACAGG
rnacentral:rRNA from 1 species